AAGGAAUGAGCUUAUAGUCAAGAGCACUGUUGUUAGAAUCUUACAUUCUUUAUUUGAAUUGUAGGUCAAGAUGUGAAUUUUUGGAAAGUAUGAUGGUUUAUAAGAGAAUACGAUACCUAGUUUGAACUUUUAGAAAGCAGGUCAAGAUGUCCCCAGCUAUAGUUGUACUUUUGUUGUCUGGGUUAUCUUCUGUCCAAGAUUUGCCAAAUCUAAGAGUCAAAAUGUAAUGCAUUCUGGUUUAUAA
rnacentral:misc_RNA from 1 species